GCGCGAGUGGUGGAAUUGGCAGACACACCAGCUUGAGGGGCUGGCGGUCGAAAGGCUAUGCGAGUUCAAAUCUCGCCUCGCGCACCA
rnacentral:tRNA from 1 species